AUGAGGAGGGGUGGUAACAGUCCUCACUGCAGAGCCUAGAUAUUUUGUGAUGUCUGACUAAUGCUGCAAGGAGAGGAUUGAGGAAAGAAAAGAGUUCUCCAAUUGACAGGAAGCAAAGAAGAAAUGAUUGUUAAGGGCCGGCACUGCUUAUAGUUUAAAGACAGACACAAUUUAGAUACCACUGAGAUCCCAUUGCAGGAUGAAGCUUAAUGAGGUCUAUGUGGUCACAGAGGGAUAAAACACAGCGAGAUCAGAUGUGGCCCUGUGUUGUGUGUGAGAGCAAGACCUUUGAGCUGGAAACGUACAGCUUACAGAUUCUUAUGGCAGCAUACAAAUAUCUCACACAAAGCGGCAUGCUGUUUGUGGGUCUGAAACCACAGCUAUCACCUUCCAUCCCCCACAGCAGAUUUUAUGGCUAUUUCAAAGCCUAUCCUGAAAUUUAACUGAAUUUAUGCAG